GUGAGUGAUACCCUGCUUCCAGGAAAAGCCACUAAGCUUCAGCUAUUGACGACCGUACCGCAAACCGACACUGGUGCGCGAGAUGAGUAUUCUAAGGCGCUUGAGAGAACUCAGGAGAAGGAACUCGGCAAAUUGACACCGUAACUUCGGGAGAAGGUGUACCCCAAGUAAGUGAAGUUGUACAAACGGAGCUCAAAGGGGUUGCAAAAAAUUGGUGGCUGCGACUGUUUAAUAAAAACACAGCACUCUGCAAACACGAAAGUGGACGUAUAGGG
rnacentral:rRNA from 1 species